AAGAAACACCACAAGUGGCAGACGACCACAGAGGAGUUGGAGAAGUCCCAAGACUCGAGCUUCCCAAGAGGGUCCUUGAAAGCUUCUUUAAUCCCCUGAAGGCACUUGACGUCGUCUUCCACAACAGCUUGGUAGGAUGAGAAGAAGCUCAAGAACAAGACCAGGGUGAGAACCCAGGUGGGAGUUGAGCUGAACAUAGUGGGGUUAAUGGAAAUGGAGAGAUGGGUUGUGCGAUUUGGGUCUAGAGGAGAAAAGGGUGGAGAGGAAUUGUCAAAUUUGCGCGUAUUCUGAAAAGGGCCAUUGACUUCAGUACAGGAGAGGUUUUAGGGAAAAUGGGGUUUAAUUGGACUGCAUAAUUCAAUCAAAGAUUGAGAGUGGGUGAUUCAUGAUUGAUUGAGAAAUUGCAAAAGGGGAUGCUUUGAGGUUGCUUUGACUAAAGACUAGAGCUUUGUUUUUGUGCAGGUGCUUUCGAGGAGUUACCCACUUACCCAGAGAGCUGAGAGAGCAACGGAGUUGAGAGAGAGGGCGAGAGAGUGAGAGUUAAGACAACAUUGAGAGAGAGAGGGCUUACCGUUGAGAGUGAGAGGGCGAGAGUCUCGAUCUGUUUGAGAGUGAGUUGAGAGUCGAUCUAUUUGGUGGGUUUAGGGUGAAUGAAUGCGAGAGAGAGAGAGAGAGAGACAGCGAUAUGAAUGCGAGAGAGUGAGAGUGUGAGACAGCGUUUAGGGUUGGUGGGUACGUUAUUAAAUUUGUCUAACUUUUUCACACAACAGAAUAUAUACUCGGAGGGAAACAUUGGAGCCAAAACUAUUUUGGCAUAGCACACCAAAUCAAUGGAGGCAAACUUUGGAGCCAAAACGACUUUGGCAUGCCACCAGAUUUUUCAGUCACACAACAAAAUGUUUUAAACUAUUGUAUAUAUUUUCUAAACUUGCACUAGGUAUUGCUUAGUAUAAAUUGUAACAACAUCAUAUAACAAAGAAAUAAAAGUCUAUUGUCCAAACAUUUUGCAUCUUGCACGACUU
rnacentral:lncRNA from 1 species